rnacentral:lncRNA from 1 species
UUUGAAGAAAAAUCCUGAGAAGGCAUGUAGAUGUUCUGGACUCGGCGGUUAACAAGCUUCUUCAUGUUUCUUGACACCUCGGAUUCAGUCUUGUACAAGGUUUCUUUCUCUAUAUCCCAUAACAACCUAUUUUAUGUAGAAGUUGAAAAGAUUAUGUAUCUAUAUUUUAUAUAUUUGUGAUUUCAUGGAUUGUGCUGGGCUAGUGAUGUCCAAACAGAGCAACAUUUUUUUUUUGGUUAAUUUAGGUAAGGUAGGUAAUAUAAGGGUAGAGAACUGGUGUAGUUUAAAUAUGCUUCAAAUAAUCGCAUGGGAUAAACUGUCUAGUGAUUGUUUCCCAAGUUACUGUUAUUAUUAGUUUAAUACUAGAUUUUUCAUAUCUGAUAGCCUGAUAGUAUGAAUUAGUAGAAGUUUCAGAUGCCGAUCUAUCGCUGCUCACAGAUGCUGUUAGUAGUUAUUUGGAUACCAAACUCUUAGGAACAAACACACAUUACUUAUUACAACAUCAUUUGAUGGUUUAUUUCUGAAACGGGUGUUAUUUUGAAUAUAAUGAUUGUUGAGAAGGUCCAAUGGCAUCUUGUUGCAGACAAUCUGAUAGAAAACAGCUGAUAUUUAAGAAGGAAAUAGGGAAAAUCUCUUUGAUUACAAAAUGAUAUCACAGAACUUUGAGGGUCUGCACCUCCCAAUGUCAAAAUGACCCCUUUCCAGUCAAAUCUCCAGAUACACUCUUUCUCAAUCACCCCUUCUAUUUAUAGGCAACACCUCUAUAUGAAAGUUAUUUUCUAUAAAAACUGCUAUCCUAAUUAAGGGCCCCUAUCUAACACAAUCCAUUUUUGAACAUUAAUUAAUAUGCUUCUUGUUGAGAAACCUUGUGUCCAUCUUGCUGUAAAAGGCGGGUAAUGCAUUCCCUACUUGCAGUUUACAUCCCGACCAUUCAUUAAGACUGAACGGUUGAGAUUGAUUUACAGAACUUACAGUGUAAGUCGUCCAUCAAUUUUGGAUUAGCUUCCUCAAGGCAAUCCUGGUCCAAAAUAAUGGGGUUGUGGUGUGAUAACAAAGGGAAAAAAGGUAAAAAUAAAUAAAGUAAAGCUAAAGCCAAAAGAGAGAAUCAAAGAAAGAUGAGUAUUGCCUGACAUUGAAAUGUAGAAGCAGUAUCUUUGACCAAGUCCUUGGUGUCUUGUGUGUAUGUUUUCAAUGGCUAAUAUGAAAAUGAUAAUUCCGAAUCCAGACUCGUGAACAAUUAUAGAGUGUCAUAUAGACUAACCUUUAGGAUUUGGUGAAGUAUUAGUGUAUGAAACUAUGGUGUCAUGCGUAAAGUGAUUGAUACUUGUUUUAUUGUUGAUAAUUUAUGAGCUUUCAGCAUGUAUAUAUGUAUACUUGACUUAUGUUUUCCUAUAUUUUGGAGUAACCCUCAUGUAUUAAUUUGGUCAGGUUACUAAUCCACUCCAGUAGAUGAGUUUGUGAAAAGUGCGGUGACGUAUAGACUGAGGCUCCGAGAUUCAUUGACAUUAGUGUUAGCCUUGUCGAGGGAUAUUCUCCAUUUAAGAGUGUUGUGAAUAAAAUCGAUGAUAAGG